AGUGGUUCUCACAUGGAAUUACUGGGGUGAGGAUCUGAACAUUCCUGUGGGAAAGGUAGUGAUUUGGGCUGGUGUAUGGAUUGUGCUGCCUUAGUGGUAGAAAUGCAGAUACUGCUGUGCAUGUGUAUUGAUGUGACUGGGAAAUCUUGCAGGAAUAUGAAGAAAUAUUAAAUCUUAAGGACAGAUCAGGCACCAGAACAAGGAGUGUGAGCAAGCCAUUAAUAAACUUACAGAAAAGAAAACUGUUGAGCUACUUCAAACCCUUCUUCACUGAGAGUUUUGGCACCAGUGGAGCAAGCCAAGGUUCAGUUAUGAUUGGGUAAGAGCUUGCAAUAGCUGUCAUUGGACUUGAUGACUGGGAAAGUCCUUUCAGUUCUGUGUUACUGCGUGUUUUGCUCUGACAGCCAGAUACCUAUCAGCUGGUGAAGACUCUUGAUCAUCACUUCCAGUUUUAUUUAUACGCUGCAUAAUAAUGACUUUUUUAAUGAUUAUUAUUUUCUUAUAUGGUGAAUGAUGUUGAAGUGACAACUCCUUGUUUACAACACUGAUGAUAGCUGGUGUUUUUUCAGUUUCAUUCUCUAGGAAAAUCUGCAUCCUGGCUCUACAAGUGUAUUAGUGCACUCUUAGAGGACUUCUAGGGCUAAACAAUGGCUAUUCACUUUAGAGAAUGUUUUAAGCAAAUUUCCCAGCUUGCCAGUGGUAAUGUACCAAAUCAAGGGACUAGACAAAAAAAUGGAUAAAUUAAUCCCUUUCAUGGGUAUUUUCCAAAAUAAAUGGUUUUACAUGUAAUGAUUUUAAACUUUCCAAAGAACCUACAUGUUAAUUUCCUUGCAAAUUUAGCAUUAGCUUACAGAAUGUAUUUAUUCAUAUGCUGCCACAUGUAGAUGUUAAAACUGAUCACAUACUUGUAUAACUAAUAUUAAUAUUGAUUAUUAUCAAGGUGUACCAGAAAGAGAACAGUGUUAGUGAUCACAAGGGCUCCUAUGGGUGCCGUUGUGCUGGUGCUGCACAUGGAUGAAAUGUGGGGAUUGAGUGGAUCUCUGGCAAGUACUACCACUUUUUCAAACUUUAGCCUUGCAGCGAAACCAAAAUUAUACUCUGUCUUUACUGCAAAAGUAGUGUUAUUUUCUUGAGAUGGCGAAAGUGUAUUUUGAGGAAAAUAUUCCCUCCCUAACCUAAUUUUUUUUUUUUUUUUUUCAAAAUUCAUGGCUGUAUCAGAAUAAUUAGGUAUUUGGUAAGUGACUUUAGCCAUCGAUUUUAGCAGUCCCUGCUUAUUUGGACAGGAAAGAGAUUCCUGAAGUGAUAUUUUUUUCUUUCCCUAGGAUGAAAAGGGGUAUGUACAGAGGUUCUUAAAAUACCGUAUCAGAUACAGAAUGGAUUUCUGAAUUAAAGCAACUCCUCAUUUUUAGCUAAUCCUUGACCUCAGCUGACAAGAGAUGAGGUUGAACCCGUUCCUUGCUCUCCAGCUCCCAGCUCUCCCUUGCGGGCUUACUAUCGGUAACUGUACAGCAAGUAUGACUCAAAUCCAUAUCUCUGGAGCACUCCGUGACACUUCUGCUACGGCUUCUCCUUUGACAUCCGAGGGAUACCACCUCCCUCUCCCACGUGGAUGUUGAGUGACACAAAUGAAGCCUUCAACCAUCUUCCUGAUGGGCCAGAUGAAAGCACUGAGGAGCAGCCAGCCCCAGCUGCAGAGCAGGGCAGGAGCACAAAGGCCAGACUGAUGGAGAUGAGAGAAGGAGGGCAUCCCUGCCCUGUCCCAUGCAGGAUGAGCAUCUCCCACCUUCUGGAAUGAGCGAGGGUAUUUCCCCAGUUUGCAGUGUCAGAGGGCUGGGCACACCGUGAAGCUGUUUGGAUUCUGUGUUGAUAAGGCGAGUGCAAACUGUCCCCACAGCUCUCGAGAGCAGAAUCAAACUGAAACUUACCACUCAGAGUAGAAAGCACAAAACACCCACAGCUACAGACCUGUACAAAUUGCUGCAAUAUAGGUUAGAAAAGGAGCCCUGUUCUGCACCCGCUGGUCUCAUCAAACACACUCAGCCUUCUCUGAAUGACUGAGACCAGCGCGUGCUCCCUCCUGCACACCCAGCUAACUUGUCACAGCUCAUUAAGCAGGCAGGUUUUCACUUUUCACGUGUCCUUGCUCCCCUUCGCACCUGGCUGCAGUUUCUGCCAUGUUUUUAACCUUUGUUUUUUUCGUGACCAGCCGUGGGUAAAGUGAGACCUCCCGGGGGCACCACCCAGCCCCGCUCACCGGGUCCCACCUGGGGACACGGCGCCUGCCUGGCCAGAAGAAACCCAGCCCUAAAGAGUUUCUGCACAGGGCUCUGAGGCUGACCAGAAGAGCAGAGCAUGCACAGCGCAGAGUAAAGGUGGGGGAAAGCAAAUACUUCCUGUGGUUUGCAGAGGAACAGAGGGCAGAAAGUCCUGACAUAGGGAAGCUGGAAACCAAGACUAUAAUAUCCAAGAAAACCCGUAUAGACUGCUUCCUGCUGCACUCACCUCUUCCUGCCCCAAAGCUACUCUCUGCUUUGCUCAUUUAAAAUAGGAUUUACCAUGUAGAACACAACUGGUAUAAGGCAGGAAUGUUGGGGUCUCCCUAAUCCUAAACCCAGUAUCACGUUGUCAUGGCAGAGUCCUCAGCAUGAGCAAACCAGGAAAAAUGUGCUCAGCCUUUGAUUUUACUGUGCAUGGUUUCAAUAUUGCAGCUUCUUUUCCCAGCGCAGUGCAGCCACUUUGGGCAGGAAUGCUGUAAGGAAUCUCACUCAGUCCUUGGAUAAGGAAAUGAUCAAGGACUUGCCUAUUCACAAUUAAUGGAAAAAAAGGAGCUGAAAGCCUUUAUUAAUCAUUGCACAAUAAGGAAGUCGCACUGGUUUGGCUUCCUUCAAUAGGGCUAUUGGGUCACACCUACCUAAGUGGUUUGGCAUCCCAACCAUCUCCCCGCAGAGGAGGGAAGGGCCACUGGCCUGUGUGCCACCAGGAAGCCUGGCCACGAGCUCUGAGUGCCCAUCUUCCUUUCCUUGAGAGACAGACAUCUCUUUUUAGAGAUGUUCAAGAUGUUGCAAGUGUUCAAGGCAGGGCUGGAGGCGGCUUUGAGCAGCCCGCUGUAGUGGAAGAUGUCCCUGUUGGAAGCAGAUGAUCUUUAAGGUCCCUUCCAACCCAAACCUUUUCUGAUUCUGUGAUCUCUGCCCCACACACACAGCAGCACUGCCUGGCCCAUGAUCUGGGCAUGGGUUCCUGCCCCAAGCCAUGGCAUCGAAAAAGAGCAGAAGUUUAUGCAUGCCCUGUGCCAGAGAUUACCCUCUGCCAGCUGUGGGGGUCCUUGCUGGGAAGGGUAUAUAUACCUCCCCAGGGGAGGUGCCACCUGCCCAGUGACCACAACUCCUUGCCCUGCUCCUGGAACCUGGCUUGCCUUUCACAGCAGCCUGUCUGUUCAACUCCCAGCUCCAGACAGCAGUCUGUGGCCAGAUGUGAUGGCUGACAGGUGCCUCUGAAGUGCCAAGAGACAGAUGUUCAGGCACUGGCUUUGGCUGGUGCACGGGGCCACAUUGCCCUGCCCUUGGAGAUGGUGCUGGGGAGAAUUUUGUAGUGAGUGGUAGGACAUAGACUCAUAGAAUGGUUUGGGUUGGAAAGGACCUUAAAGAUCAUCCAGUUCCAACGGCAUCAGUGCAGGAUGAGACAACACUUCAGGAGCCCUUCUUUCUCUCAGGUGUCUUUCCUAGAUGACCUUUUGCAGAGCUGAAUGGCCUGAACCAGCAGAGCCUGUGCUGCCUGGAGGUGGAAAGCAUCAUCUAAUCGUCCCUGCGCCUGGUUUUCCUGCACAGGCUGCCAUCCGACUUGUGUCAAGCUGCAAGCUGUCACAGUGGAGGCAAGGAGGCUUGGCUUUGAAGCAAAAGGUGAUGUCUGCUUGCAUGUGCCUCUAAGCAAUUGACAUCUGACACCCCAGCAUGGGACAAGAAUGCAACCCUGCAUCUGCAGCAGGCACUGAGGCAGCAGUAGCUUGGUGAGGGUUAGCAGUUCCUCACCCCUUUGGCCACCACUAUGAACUGCUGGGAAAUCUUCCCCAACCUCUUUUAUAAAUGAGCAAAAGCAAAGUCAUGCAUCUUGAGCCUUCUGCCAUUGACUGCAGUUAGUGCAAAUGUGGCCUUAGUGGGUGUGCAAAUGUGCUACCUGCCUGCACUUCCACAUGCUGCUUCUGAGAAUGAGAAUGGCAGGUGCUGGCUGCAGGUUGGCCCUUCGUCAGCAUCCGAUGAGAAACUGAACACCUGUGCUUUUGGGAAGUGGUGUGUCUUUGGCGAAAAGCCAUGUUUCUGUGCUGUUCAGGUAGGACUGGGUAGUGCUGAAGUCACCAAAAUUCCCAUCUGUGCCCACACAUCCCAGCUCAGGCAGCUGCCCUUUCCCUGCCAGUGUACCCUGGCCAGUCGCAAAGGACGAGGGAGACGUCCCUCUCGCUGCAGGGCAGCUCCCUGAUGCUGGUGGUGAGUUUUGCUUAGGCCACCAUGACAGCUUGUGUUUUGCAGAUACCUGCCCCAUGACGGGCACAUUCCUCGGCCGCACCGCAUCCACUCAGCCCUGGCUCAUGCAGUAAUUAGCCAAGUGUUUCCUUGGCUGCCUUUAAUUACAGACACAACUAUUUCCCUCGCUCUAACGUAAUGCCUCUGAACGACAGCAAAGGUUUUGGGCUGCAUCCCGCGCAGUCCCAGCACAUGUUGGGACGCGGCCGUGCAUCGGCAGUCACUGAUUUGAACCUGAAGGGCUCAUACCCCCUCGGUGAGUCACGUUUUUCAUUUUCGACCUCAAGGCUGUAAUUGCCGCACUGGGAAUUAGCGGUGUCUCCCCCAGCACUCAGCUGAGAGGCACCGUGCUUUAUAAACCAGCCAGAAGGGAGGGAUCACACGAUCACAGAAUCAUUUGGGGUGGAAGGGACCUCUGGGAAUCAUCCAGUCCAAGGUGAAACCUCCUGUGUUUUAGUUUAUAGCCAUUGCUCCUUGUCCUGUCGCUGGGCAUCACUGAAAAAAGUCUGGUACCAUGUUCCUGGCACCCGCCUUUGGGAUAUUUACAAGCAUUAAUGAGAUCCCCUCUCAGCCUUCUCUUCUCUAGACUAAACGGGCCCACCUCCUGCAAUCUCUCCUCAGAAGAGAGGUGCUCCAGACCCCUGAUCAUCCUUGUGGCCUUCCACUGGACCCUCUCCAAGAGCAACUUGUCUUGUACUAAGGAGCCCAGCACUGGACAUGGUACUCCAGAUGUAGCGUCAUCAGAGUGCAGUAGACAGGGAAGAUCACCUCCCUCUACCACCUGCUGGCCACACUCCUGAUGCACCCCAGGGAUCAUCCUUAGAUCUGUGUUUGAGUCUAUCUCAGCUGUAUUUCACCCUGUUUAGUGGCAAAACAGCUCAGCUGGCAAAGCCCCGGAAGGAAAAUGCACGUUGCCUUCCCGGCCACAUCAUGCUUGGUCGCCACCAUUUUCACACUGGUGGCAGCAAGGUUCACAUCGAGCCUGUCUGCCUGCAGCUCUGUGCUGGGGGUGCAUGGCUUUGCAGGGCUGCACUUUACGGCAGCAUCCAGAAGGAGAAGCUUUCCUGCCCUGCACCUUGCUGAGGCUGUUAGGGUUAGCUGACCUGGUGGUGCUGUUGCCACGGCUGAAACCUGCCAUAUUUCUGGUUGCAGCACAUGCCCUCAGCGGCUUCCAGUGGCUGGGGGCUGCCAGAAACCCAGGCAGCAGCUGCCAGGCUCGGCCUUGCGAGGCUGUGAUCUAUAACGUGCAUUGUCUUUUUAUGUAAUGUGUUUUAUUAAACAUCUUCUAAAGCUUACAAGUGUCCCCAGGACAUAACUCUCCAGUGCAAUGCAACGCUCUGCCAAGAAAUGAAGUAUGAUUUAUGGCGGUAACGGUUAUCCUCUGCUUUUCUUAAAAAACAUUAUUACAGCAAUAGCUCUGUCGAGUACAGGACUGUAACAUGCUGCAUUUGGCACGUUUAUGACAACAGUGCUCUGGUUUUCUUAACUCCACAGCUCGGUGCUGGCAGUAUGUCAAAUUCUUGAGACAGAUGUUUAAAUGAAUUUUUUAAGAGGACAGUGAAAUACUUCUAAAACAUCAUACGGCACUGAGUGUCUCAAUAUGAGCAGCAACAUUAUUUCUUUAGCGUGCAGGUAGGGCAGGGCAGCACAUGGCCUCUCUGGUUUCAAUCUCACAGUAAAUGAUGGAAGUAGCAAAUGUUGAAUUAGCUUUCUGGGCAUCCCGGCCUGCUGUGGCUUUCUGGCCAAGGUGGGGGAAUGAACGGGCGUUUGACGUGCUGGAUAUCACUCGCAUUCGUGUAUCCUUUGUGAGCAGUGAAAACAGAUCCCCGUUUGUUUUGAAUGCAGUUCCCACCAUGUUGAUACAGGACUAAGUGGUCUCACGCUGACAUUGUGACUGUGUCAUUGUGGUCCCAGUGGUUAGGGUUUCAGGCCAGAAAUGACAAUCAUUUGGGAAAAUGUAAAUGAGAACCCUGCUCGCAUCUCUGCAAGGCACAGAGCAGUCGAGAAUUUCCAUCAAAACACUGAAAAUUCUUGGGGUUUAAAAAAGCAAUCAUCCCAUUUUGGUUUUUUAGGUACUGGCUCAGGCAAGGAGAGCGCUGUAGUUAACAAAGCCAGGGUGUUCAGCUCUGGCAUGGCUGCUCGCAGCUUUCCAGCACGGAAAACCAGGAACCCACAAAGGCAGAAGUCAGCAUUGUCGGAGACAUCAUCGCCCUCGGCACAGAGUGUGUUUGCGGCUGGGAGGGGAGGGCGCCCCACAACGAGGCUCCGCACACAUGCUCUCAGAUUGAAGACAAGGGAAGCAUUGGUAACAGAGGUAGUGGGUGACCGUGAGGCAACUUCAUAAUUGACAUAUCUGACGACUCGUAAAGGUUGCAUCCUGAGGAGAUAAGUCCAUUUCCCAGGUUCCUCUGCAGAGAGACUUUCAGAUUAGCUCCUUCCAUUUCCCGCCUGAGCAUGCUCCUCCAUGGACAGGCCAGAGGCAGGGGCAACAGGGCAGUUGCCCUUCAGGUGGACCUGGAGGCUGCAGAGGUGAAUGUAGCUCUUAUGGCAGUGGAUGCAUUUAUGGGGACGCUCCCGGGUGUGAAGACGCUUGUGCAGCUUGAGGUGCACAAACUGGGUGAAUUUGGCUGGGCAGAGCUUGCACUGGUAAGGCUUCUCUCCAGAGUGGAGCCUCAGGUUCAACAGAAGGACUUUGCAGAACAUAAGCUCCUAGAAAUGUUCCUCAGUAAAAUAACAAGGCAUGACAAAUCGGCUUUUGCCAAACCGCAGCAGUCACUUCACCAGCCAGUUCAAUUACUUACAGUACCAAAAAAACCAUGGCUGGCUGGGAUGAAAGCUGCCUUCAAAGAGAAGGUAUUCUCCAUCAGUAAACAGAUCAUUACUCAUUAAAUAUACUGCUUAGGAACAUCUACAACAAAGCAGACUAUUUACUGCAGAUUUCUCUGGCAUUUGGUCUAUUCAAAGCUCCUCUGCUUACAGCUGUACUUUAUAAAAAAAACUGCUGAAGCAAAGCAAAAGGAAGCAAGAGCGGUUGGCUCCAGCUUAAGUUGAAAUGUACUUUAAAGGAAAAAAAUAGAAAGGAAAAAGAAAUAUUUAUUUAGAAGGAAAUAGAAGCUAGCAUCCAUUUGGCUCAGUUCAGCACAUACACUGUUUAUUUGUAUUCAAAUGAUCGACCUUGUUAUCUGGAUAUAAUAUAAUAUGAAGAGUGUACUGAAAGAUGUCUUCAAUAGAAAAAGAAGUAUGCUUUUAUCUCAUCUCCCACAGUUAAUAGUUAUAUAAUCACGAAAUGAUGUCUUGUAAGAUAUUUUAUUACAGGGCAAAAACUACAAGGAAGGUUUCAUAUUCGUGCUUAGUUAUGUGCAAAGUUUUCCAUCAGGAGGUACAAGUCAAUGUCGCUAAGUAUGCAACUUGAAAGUAUCGCAGCCCUGCCGACAAGUUUCUGCUUCUGUGGCUCACUGAUCUUACUUCACUAACUGAGGUGAGAAACUGUUAUUUCUGAUCUUUGGAGGACCAGCUGAACCCAGUAAGGAAGAUGGGAACAGGCAAUGAUCACGCCACUUUCAACACUGAUUCUUUGCUUCGCUGUUCACUACCCUGAUGGAAUCUAUCAUUUGGCAACAUUACCCUAUAAGGCAAGGAAAUGGCCAUUUAUAAAACGUACCAAAAAAAAAACAGCUGCUUUCAAAGCUUGCUCCUUCUCACAGCAACCCAUUUGUACAGUAGCAUCCUUCCUGAAACACUGGUAGCCUAGCAAGCAAAUUUAGUUUUGACAUGUGGGCAGUUUGUGUAUUUCCAAGUUGCAAUGAAAUGCUACUGAACAUGGUUAUGUUCAAUAAUAUAUUUAGGAUAAAGCAUAGGGUGUGUUGCACAGCAAGCACGUACGCAUGUAAGUGUGCAGAGAGCUUCCCAAUUUCUUCUUUUGAUGUUAAAGCUUAAUGCAGGGCUGUUUCAAAAAUAAAUUAAUAGUAUGUUGUGUUGAAUGGUAUUUAAAAUCAUGUACUUUCUUUGAUAGUUUUCUCUGUA